GGGGCCGUAGCGCAGUGGUAGCGCGUCUCCAUGGCAAGGAGGAGGUCGUGGGUUCGAUUCCCACCGGCUCCACCA
rnacentral:tRNA from 1 species